GACGAACGCUGGCGGCGUGCUUAACACAUGCAAGUCGAACGGAAAGGCCCUGCUUUUGUGGGGUGCUCGAGUGGCGAACGGGUGAGUAACACGAGAGUAACCUGCCCUUGACUUUGGGAUAACUUCAGGAAACUGGGGCUAAUACCGGAUAGGAGCUCCUGCUGCAUGGUGGGGGUUGGAAAGUUUCGGCGGUUGGGGAUGGACUCGCGGCUUAUCAGCUUGUUGGUGGGGUAGUGGCUUACCAAGGCUUUGACGGGUAGCCGGCCUGAGAGGGUGACCGGCCACAAUGGGACUGAGAGACGGACCAGACUCCUACGGGAGGCAGCAGUGGGGAAUAUUGCACAAUGGGCGGAAGCCUGAUGCAGCAACGCCGCGUGUGGGAUGACGGUCUUCGGGGUGUAAACCGCUUUCGGCUGUGACGAAGCGUGAGUGACGGUAAUGGGUAAAGAAGCACCGGCUAACUACGUG
rnacentral:rRNA from 1 species